rnacentral:rRNA from 1 species
ACGAACGCUGGCGGCGUGCUUAACACAUGCAAGUCGAACGGUGAAGCGCCUUCCUUUUUGGUGGGUGUGGAUGAGUGGCGAACGGGUGAGUAACACGUGAGUAACCUUCCCCCUUCUUCUGGAUAACCGCAUGAAAGUGUGGCUAAUACGGGAUAUUCUGGGUCUGUCGCAUGAUGGGUCUGGGAAAGAUAUUGUUUCGGUGGGGGAUGGGCUCGCGGCCUAUCAGCUUGUUGGUGGGGUGAUGGCCUACCAAGGCGGUGACGGGUAGCCGGCCUGAGAGGGUGGACGGUCACACUGGGACUGAGACACGGCCCAGACUCCUACGGGAGGCAGCAGUGGGGAAUAUUGCACAAUGGGCGCAAGCCUGAUGCAGCGACGCCGCGUGAGGGAUGGAGGCCUUCGGGUUGUGAACCUCUUUCGCCAGUGAAGCAGGCCUGCCUCGUUUGUGGGUGGGUUGACGGUAGCUGGAUAAGAAGCGCCGGCUAACUACGUG